rnacentral:rRNA from 1 species
GUCUACGGCCAUACCACCCUGAACACACCGACCUCAUUUGAUCUCGAAAGCGAAGCAGGGCCAGGCCUGGUUAGUACUUGGGUGGGAGAGGGAGAGAGACACCCACAGCCCCUGCAGGUG